CCUACGGGAGGCAGCAGUGAGGAAUAUUGGUCAAUGGGCGUAAGGCUGAACCAGCCAAGUCGCGUGAGGGAUGAAGGUUCAGAGGAUCGUAAACCUCUUUUGUCAGGGGAUAAAGUGUGGGACGUGUCCUGUUUUGUAUGUACCUUAUGAAUAAGGAUCGGCUAACUCCGUGCCAGCAGCCGCGGUAAUACGGAGGAUCCGAGCGUUAUCCGGAUUUAUUGGGUUUAAAGGGUGCGUAGGCGGGCCUUUAAGUCAGGGGGGAAAGUCUGUGGAUCAAACAUGGAAUUGCCGUUGAAACUGGGAGGCUUGAGUAUGUCGGAGGCAGGCGGAAUGCGUGGUGUAGCGGUGAAAUGCUUAGAUAUCACGCAGAACCCCGAUUGCGAAGGCAGCCUGCCAAGCCAUGACUGACGCUGAGGCACGAAAGCGUGGGGAUCAAACAGGAUUAGAUACCCUAGUAGUC
rnacentral:rRNA from 1 species